CCUACGGGGGGCAGCAGUGGGGGAUAUUGCACAAUGGGGGAAACCCUGAUGCAGCGACGCCGCGUGGGUGAAGAAGCGCCUCGGCGCGUAAAGCCCUGUCAGCAGGGAAGAAAAUGACGGUACCUGAAGAAGAAGCCCCGGCUAACUACGUGCCAGCAGCCGCGGUAAUACGUAGGGGGCAAGCGUUAUCCGGAUUUACUGGGUGUAAAGGGGGCGCAGACGGCGAUGCAAGCCAGGAGUGAACGCCCGGGGCCCAACCCCGGGACUGCUCUUGGAACUGCGUGGCUAGAGUGCAGGAGGGGCAGGCGGAAUUCCUGGUGGAGCGGUGAAAUGCGUAGAUAUCAGGAGGAACACCGGUGGCGAAGGCGGCCUGCUGGACUGCAACUGACGUUGAGGCCCGAAAGCGUGGGGAGCAAACAGGAUUAGAUACCCCAGUAGUC
rnacentral:rRNA from 1 species